rnacentral:rRNA from 1 species
GACGAACGCUGGCGGCGUGCUUAACACAUGCAAGUCGAACGGAAAGGCCCUGCUUGCAGGGUACUCGAGUGGCGAACGGGUGAGUAACACGUGGGUGAUCUGCCCUGCACUUCGGGAUAAGCCUGGGAAACUGGGUCUAAUACCGGAUAGGAGCCAUUUUUAGUGUGAUGGUUGGAAAGUUUUUUCGGUGUAGGAUGAGCUCGCGGCCUAUCAGCUAGUUGGUGGGGUAAUGGCCUACCAAGGCGGCGACGGGUAGCCGGCCUGAGAGGGUGGACGGCCACAUUGGGACUGAGAUACGGCCCAGACUCCUACGGGAGGCAGCAGUGGGGAAUAUUGCACAAUGGGCGCAAGCCUGAUGCAGCGACGCCGCGUGGGGGAUGACGGCCUUCGGGUUGUAAACUCCUUUCGCUAGGGACGAAGCUUUUUGUGACGGUACCUAGAUAAGAAGCACCGGCUAACUACGUG